rnacentral:rRNA from 1 species
GACGAACGCUGGCGGCGCGCUUAACACAUGCAAGUCGAGCGAGAACCAGGGCUUCGGCCCCGGGGACAGCGGCGAACGGGUGAGUAACACGUGGGUAAUCUGCCCUCGGCACCGGAAUAGCCCGGGGAAACCCGGAUUAAUGCCGGAUGGCCCCUUCACCUCGCGAGGUGUCGGGAAAAGGUAGCUUCGGCCUCCGGCCGAGGAUGAGCCCGCGGCGGAUUAGCUUGUUGGCGGGGUAACGGCCCACCAAGGCGACGAUCCGUAGCUGGUCUGAGAGGACGAUCAGCCACACUGGGACUGAGACACGGCCCAGACUCCUACGGGAGGCAGCAGUGGGGAAUCUUGCGCAAUGGGCGAAAGCCUGACGCAGCGACGCCGCGUGAGGGAAGAAGGCCUUCGGGUUGUAAGCCUCUUUCAGGAGGGACGAAGCCACUCGGGUGAACAGCCCAGAGGGUGACUGUACCUCCAGAAGAAGCCCCGGCUAACUACGUGCCAGCAGCCGCGGUAAUACGUAGGGGGCAAGCGUUGUCCGGAUUUACUGGGCGUAAAGCGCGUGUAGGCGGCCGCACAGGUCCGUUGUGAAAACUGGAGGCUUAACCUUCAGACGUCGACGGAAACCGUGUGGCUAGAGUCCGGAAGAGGAGAGUGGAAUUCCUGGUGUAGCGGUGAAAUGCGCAGAUAUCAGGAAGGACACCAAUGGCGAAGGCAGCUCUCUGGGACGGUACUGACGCUGAGACGCGAAAGCGUGGGGAGCGAACAGGAUUAGAUACCCUGGUAGUCCACGCCGUAAACGAUGGGUGCUAGGUGUGGGAGGUGUCGACUCCUUCCGUGCCGCAGCUAACGCAUUAAGCACCCCGCCUGGGGAGUACGGCCGCAAGGCUA